AUUGAACGCUGGCGGCAGGCCUAACACAUGCAAGUCGAGCGAGCGGCGGACGGGUGAGUAAUGUCUGGGGAACUGCCCGAUAGCGGGGGAUAACUACUGGAAACGGUGGCUAAUACCGCAUACUAUCGGAUGCACCCAUAUGGGAUUAGCUAGUAGGUGGGGUAAAGGCUCACCUAGGCGACGAUCGCUAGCUGGUCUGAGAGGAUGAUCAGCCACACUGCAAGUGAGAAACGGCCCAGACUCCUACGGGAGGCAGGAGUGGGGAAUAUAGCACGAUGGGAGGAAUCCUGAUGGAGCAAUGCCGCGUGUAUGAUGAAGGACUUAGGGUGGUAAAGUACUGUCAGCGGGGAGGCGUUACCCGGAGAAUAAGCACCGGCCAACUACGUGCCAGCAGCCGCGGUAAUAC
rnacentral:rRNA from 1 species